rnacentral:lncRNA from 12 species
UGGAUGUAGGGGAGGAACUUCAUCUCUGCAUCCAGUUUGACCCAGCUUAUGAGAACAAUCUGAAUAGCUGGGUGGCAGAGAGGCUGCUCAGGAUGCACUUCCUGGAGCAUCCUCAUGAGGAGCAGGUCACUGUUCAGGGAGAAGUCUACUUCCCAAAUCUCCAUCUCCAGACCAAGGCUGUGGACUUUGGCUGCAUCAUAAAUGACACUGAACAAGAAGUGCAUAUGGAGAUGACCAACUGCGGCCCCAUUCCUGCCCAGUACCACUGGUCAUUCCAGACAGACAGACAGGUGAACACCAUAAGGUUCAGGCCUUCACCACCUAAGUUCAAACCCCAGUCAUCAAAGAAGAAGGGAGUACUUCCAAGGAGACACUCCAAGGCUGAAGGUGUGGAGGAGCCAACCAAAGCCCUGGAAGCAGUGCAGGAUUCUGCCCAGGAGGAUUCUGCCCAGCAGCCAGCAGAUGCAGAGGACUCCCUGGAAGUAGAGGAGCUGUCAUUCCCUGCUGUGGAGCCUCAGAGGCCGGUGAGGAAGAGGGGAUUGAGUCAAUUCUCAGAGGUGAAGCGCCCCAAGCCUGGCAUGCAGGAGGUUUUUGAUGUCCGGCCCCUGUGGGGUGAGCUGCAGCCGGGAGAGAGCCACACGGUCACCUUCACCUUCUUCGGCUACGCCAACAUCGUCGCCCGUGUCACGGCGCUGUGCCACGUGCAAGGAGGCCCCACCUACCAGGUGGUGGUGACUGGGGAGGCUUCGUGCCCCAGCUACCAGCUGGAUGUGGAGGAGAUUGACUGGGGGCUGCAGGUGUUUAACAAAGUCCUCAAAGCAAAGGUCACCCUGCAGAACACCGGAGUUGUUGAAUUCACCUAUGUUGUGCCAAACUCCAGCACUGGCACUGCAGCAAAGCCUCUGCCUGGUGUGCCCCUGGUCCUGCCCACCACAGGUUCCAUUGCACCUGGCAGACAGCAAGUGUUGAAAGUCUAUUAUCUGCCAGGAAAGCUAGGAAUCUUCUGCAGGACUUUCCAGGUUCAAGUGGCUUAUCUGGAACCUGCAGAAAUCUACCUGAAAGGAGAGGGGACCUUUCCUAGGAUUACCAUGGACCUACCCUGCGUGUUGAAAGGAAAUGAAAAAUAUGGGAAGAUACUGAAAGAGAGAGCACAAAACAUGGGAGUACACACAAAGGGCGGUGCACCAUCUUUUCCAUUGGACAUUACAGACUGGGAGGAGACACUGCAAGAGGAAGAAGAAAACCUGGAGGAAGAAGAAAGGCAGAGCAAUGAAUCAUCUUAUCUGCAGUCUUCUGUGAUCAUGGGGUCAUCCAUGAAGUCAUCCAUGAAGUCAUCCAUGAAGUCAUCCAUAGGGUCAUCCAGGAAGUCAUCCAGGAAGCCUUCCAUGAAGUCAUCAAUGAAAUCAUCUGGAGGACAGGAUCUUUAAUAAGCAGAUGCAUCAGAGUCUUGUCAAGUGAAUAGGGACUCUCAUCCCCAUGUCCAGGUGCCCUGUGGGUAACAUCCAGCAGUGCCCCCUGCUCCUGGGAGCUCCUUGUGUCUGCAGGGCUGGGAAUAGCCUGGACUUCAGGAAAGAUCUGGUCCUGGUGGCUGUGACACACUCUCUGUGAGCAGCUGAGUGCCCACCCUUACCCAGCAGCAUGCUGAACCUGGCUCUGCUCAGCUUCCCAUAGCUGUGGGGUUCUGUUCCUAGAGCUCAGGGAAUCCAGUGCAGACCAUCAAGGCCUUACAGGCAGCACAGACACCAUUCCUGAUGACAGCUUCAAGCUGUCUUGGUUCCAGCUAACAGAGCACACUGAGCAAAAGGAAUCACACAGGUCCACAAACCCUUGGGAAAUUGGAGGAGCAGCAGCUGUGCAGUCAGACCACAAUUCAGGACUUUAUCUCCAGACGUGACUGGAUCUUAGUUGGAUCUGCAGUCAGAGGCACCAGGAGGCAUGCUGGGGCAAGCAAGGAGCUCAGGUGACACAGGGGGAGGGUGACAUGAGCCUUUCAGCACUUGCUCCUUGCCAGGUGCAAUGGAGCCCUGUAGGGGAUGGGAGAAGAGGGAGGGAAUGCCUCAAAGAAGGUUUGAUGGGAAUGGCUCAGGGGACACCCAGGCUGAGAAGACAGGUUCUCAUCUAGAAGAAAACAUCAGACCACAUCACUUUCUAACUUCCUUGUGCCCAAAAGCUCGAGCCUCCAACCCUGGGGUGCAGUGUGUCCUCCUGAGGUCUCACAAGGCCACAGCCCCAGCAGAGCCUGAUGUGAGCACAGCUCUGCUGCUAGCAGGACUGGCCCUCUGCCAGCAAGGGCCAUGCUGAGCAAAUGAAAGCUCUUCUGCCAGCUGCUUUGUAAAUAAAUCCCAUUUGAAUAUAUUACUUGCCUUGUUUUUAUGAGAUUACACAAGAUUGUACUUGGCAUAGUCAGCAGGAUGUCAGUAGAGGGGUUUCUGGGGAGUGUCCCUUCUCCUUUAGGGAUGGAAUGUGUGAAGGAGAAAGGGUUGGACCUGGAGGAGGUGGUAGAGAGACACAGCAGCGCUGCUGCGGCCGAAGAGGACGUGGUAAAGAGAGCGUGUGUGCCACCUUGGGAGCGUGCCUGGUACUGGCACAUGGUGAUUAUUCCAGAGGACUGGAAACAGAGAAACCUCUAGACACAAUUGUCUUAAAAGAAAUAACAGAGAAGGAGAGCAAAUAAGAGCAACAGAGAGCAACAAAGGAUUGAAAUAAAGCUGACAAAACAACAACAAAAAAAAAACCCAAAAAACCAACUCUGUCAAACAAUAGGAUUAUCCACUUCUAGAUGGUGACAGCAGAUCCAGAGGACUGGUAUGGGCAUAUUUGGAGACAUUCUGAUGAACACAUUUCAGAAGGAUUAGGGGAGUUAGAGGAAAGAAGCGUUUUUAUUUCAAAAGGUCUGUGACAUGGCUGAUGUUCCCUCUACCACUGUGCACCCAACCCCAUGGGUGGGACUGGAACUUGGUGCACUACAACCUAAACUUCUGUGCAGCCCAGGGGAGACAGAAACUGAGUGUUUGUGGAGAGCCUCUGUGAUGGGAGGAGGUCAGAUCGUGGUAAGUGACAAAGAACUGAGUGGGUUUGGGGGUCCUGGAAUGGUUUUGAGCGAUGGGCCAGCAGAUGUGUUACCCCUGAGUGGUUUAGGUCAGUUAAAGAACCAGCAAAGGUAACAGGGCAGUGGUCACAGCACCAAGGCUGCCAGAGUUCAGAAAUGUUUGCUCUCAGGCACAUGGUGUGACUGGUGGGGCUGUCCUGUGCAGGGCCAGGAGCUGGACUGCAUCCUUGUGGGUCCCUUCCAAUGCAGGGUAAACUCUGAUAAAAGCAGACACUUUUCCUCAUGCACACUUUCUCCCAUUUCCUGCUAAAUUAAGGAACUGAGCAACCAUACCUCAGGGAAUUAAGAGGUUAAUUCUGUAGGAAGGCACCUUACUAUGCUGGCAAAAAAAAUCUUUGCUGCUCAAUGCAAACAUUUUUCUUCUCUUUCAACCCCUCACCUUUCUGUAUUCUAAUCCAGCCUGUACCCUUG